UCCUUGUUAAUCAUUUGGAUCAACCCCUUUUGAGUCCGCCAUAACAUCACUAGCAAUAAUAAUUAAUCUCCAUCCCUUGCCUAAUCGCCUCAGCCUCCGCCAUGAUAACAGUACCAAAACAUGGCAGCGGCGGCGGCUCAGUUUCCAAGUCGGCAUGAAGCUCCAAUCCACCGCCACAUUGCUAUCCUUAUCUAAAGUCAGUUGCUUUUCACUUCACACUCUUCAAUCCUUUCCUUUCUGGUCUGUUUGUUUCCUGAGAAAAACCUGCAAGAAAAUAAAUGCAAUCCCUAAUUGGAUUCCAGCUUGCUUUGCCGUUUGAAAGGGCGAUGAUGGACGAGCGCUUUGGUAGUAUUCAGGCGUCAUCGCCGUUGCCGAUUCCGGCAUCAAAUUCGUAGCCGAAGAUGAGCGGUCCAACCGUCCAAAGACGGCAUAGUUUUCCACUACGGUUUCGUUGAGAAUUCCGGCGAGGAAGCAGAGGCGAAAUUCGAGAAAGGGAAAGAGGGUGGUGUUGUGUGUGGAUGAGUCUAGCACAAGCUGAUUACGCAUAUACUCGAAGAAAUCGACUCAUUUGAUUGUUUAAGUUUAUCUUUUAAGUUGCUGUGCUUGUUCUUUGAUUAAACUAUUAUUGUACGACCAAUUCCAAGUUCGAUUUUCGGCCAAAAAACUCCGAAGCUCAUUUGCUUACUCGUUGUUUCAUAUUUCAUAUUUUGAUGAUUCUGGAAUUGUUCUUGUGCAGGCUUCGCUCGGCCGGGCGUUUGCUGGAUACAUACAUGUAUGGGGCCAUAUGUGCAAAUAUAAAAGCACGGUUCCACAAAAAGAUAUAGCAAGUAAGCAAAAGGAGUUGGACGUACAAGCUAAUGCAUUAAUAUCAAGAGGAGGAAAAGUUUCUGCUGCCUUGUUACCAUUUGAAGAAGCGUGUAAGCCGUGUGGUGAUUGCCUUCCCGAUUAUAUUGCAAAGGUUAUUCUGUACCUGUUCAAAAUACCUUCUCAUAUCGGACCCUUAAAAUUUUAGUGCUUAAAAUAGUCCAGUACUAACUAUGAACCACAAUUAUUUUAUUUAUUUAUUUGUAAGUUAAAUAUUUUAAAUUUAUCUCUCGCCAAUACGAGUUUUAACCAAAUUA